UUUCAUGCUUUAGGCCGGUUUCGUUGCUGAUUAGGAUUUUUAUCUCAUUGUUGACUCUCUGACGUGCCAUUUCUCCUUAUUUGACCAAAAUUCCCCUUCCAUGCAACCGUAAAUCCCAACAUUUUCGAAGCUCCAUGAGCAUCCACCGCCGCUGGUGCUCUGGCCCCCGCAGAUCCUCUGGCCCAAUCCUUCCCUUGCCUUGCCUAGCCACCUGUCGGGUGAGAGAGAGGUGCCCGGAGGGAGCCUUGCAGCGGGAGACGGUGCGUGCGCCGUAGCGCCUGCAGCCUUGCCGGCCGCCAUGGACAAUAAGGACAAGGAGCCGGAGGAGGAGGAGGAGGCCAAGCGCGCCGUGGUGCUCGGCCCCAGCCCCCAGGUCUGGAGGCGCAGCUCCCUCUAUCUCCCUGUCCCCUACUCCCUUCCUCCGGCCAGCGGCGUGGAGCAGGUGCAGCGGCACGAGAGGCAACGGCGUGCUGCAGGGCUCGGUGCUGUCUCAAGAACUGUUUUGCUGGGCAAUCUGGUUCUUCAGCAGGGGCUUGGAGCAGCGGCGGGGUGCAGCAGGAGAGGCGUGCAGCAGGGCGAGCGGCGUGCAGCAGGUGCAGCAGGGGCUUGGAGCAGCGGCGGUGGCGGCGUGCAGCAGGUACAGCAGGGGCGAGCGGCCACGGCGGGGUGCAGCAGGGGCUUGGAGCGUGGUGGCGUGGGUCAACGCCGGCGAGAUUUUGUGCAGUGGCGUCGGGCAUGACAGGGGCUAAGAUGGCCAUGUCAGCCGUAAAAAAGAUCAACUCGCCUAAUCAUGCACCAAACUGGUCUAAAUGUAACACGUCAGCUCUCAAACCGUUAAGUGGGGUGAUUUAUCCGGUAUUAGAGAGUUUGAGGUUAAAAUUAAACAGUUUUUGACUUCAAGGGUUAUGCGUCCCUACCGAUACAUUUACAUUGAGAGUGAAAUACGGACUUCUUUUAAAAAACAAUAUUCCCGAUACUCCCAGUCCACGACAUUCUCAGAGAAGAAAAAAUGCCGAGCUGGGGGCCCAGGAAGCACAGGCCACACGGCCUGGGUCGUGGGAAAACAAUUAGCCCACACCAUACCGUAUCUGGGCUUUGGCCUGGGGCGCAGCCCAGUUCAGACCUCCCUUCGGCCCAUAAACGAAAAUGGGACAUGUCAGGAAGAGGAGUCAGAGAGAUUGGGAGGCAGCGCAGCCCCGCCGCCCGCCGCCGCUCGCCGUCGCCGACUCGCCAGAGCAAUCUACUCUCCCCAUUUGGGAUUCGGCCAAACUCCCCAAUCGGAGGAAUAAUAGGAAGAUGACUCAUUUUUUUUCCAACCACAAACCACCCUAUCAGAGGCGAGGCAGAAGCAGAGCCCCUAUCAGAGGCAGAAGCAGAGCUUGGUCGUGCAACUAGAGCAAGUGAUAAUGCCCCUCUGUUUCAGCUCAACAAGGCUGAGUUGAGGAACAAGAUGGGUGAUAAUUGGAUGAAUCAUAGAAUGGUACUAUGUUUUGAAGAGUCCAAGAUCAUAGAGUGAUUCAAUGUUACCGUUCACGCAAAGGAGUUCUACCUCGUCCCAAAGGUUUAGCUUCUUCUAGUCUUGAAAAGAUGUAAUCAUGGGAGGAUUGGGAGCCUCGGAUCGAUCCGUCCUUUGAUUUGGUACUAUCUUUUGUAUCAUCUAUUAUGUCAUACAUUGUAUUUUGCUAUGUAUUACCUUCGUAGUUGAACCACUGAAUAUUGUUUCCAAAUUAUUACCAAUUGUCUUGAAUUUAUUUUUGCACGGGGCGUCAGCAAUUCCUGGCUCCGCCAUUGUCCAUAUGGUAAUGGGUCCAUUAAUUAGCAACACUUUGAGCAUUGUCCACGUGGGGAGACGUUUGUCACCAAACUGUAUGUACAAAGAGGAACUGCAACAACAGAGAGCUGUAACAGUUUUUUUCUCCUGGCAUUAAUCCACCCACCACUGUAUAUAUAUGUAUAUCUUGCUUGCAUUCCUGCUGUAAAAACUGCACUAAUAAUUAAACCCAUGCAUCA